UGGGGAAUAUUGGACAAUGGGCGCAAGCCUGAUCCAGCCAUGCCGCGUGAGUGAUGAAGGCCUUAGGGUUGUAAACUUCUUUUGUCAGGGAUGCACACUCUCUCUUCGUGAGGGAGUUAGGACAGUACCUGACGAAUAAGCAUCGGCUAACUAC
rnacentral:rRNA from 1 species